GAUGAAGAACGUAGCGAAAUGCGAUAAGUAAUGUGAAUUGCAGAAUUCAGUGAAUCAUCGAAUCUUUGAACGCACAUUGCGCCCGCCAGUAUUCUGGCGGGCAUGCCUGUUCGAGCGUCAUUUCAACCAUCAAGCCCUGCUUGCGUUGGGGUCCUGCGGCUGCCCGCAGGCCCUGAAAACCAGUGGCGGGCUCGCUAGUCACACCGAGCGCAGUAAUACAUCUCGCUUUGGGCGUGCGGCGGGUUCUUGCCGUUAAACACCCCCUUUUUACCAAGGUUGACCUCGGAUCAGGUAGGAAUACCCGCUGAACUUAAGCAUAUCAAUAAGCGGAGG
rnacentral:misc_RNA from 1 species